rnacentral:snRNA from 1 species
GUGCUCGCUUCAGCAGCACAUAGACUAAGAUUAGAACGAUACAGAGACGAUCAGCAUGGCCCCUGUGCAAGAAGGACAUGCAAAUUCGUGAGGCAUUCUGUAUUUAA